rnacentral:rRNA from 1 species
UACGGAGGGGGCUAGCGUUAUUCGGAAUUACUGGGCGUAAAGCGUACGUAGGCGGCUUUGUAAGUUAGAGGUGAAAGCCCGGAGCUCAACUCCGGAACUGCCUUUAAGACUGCAUCGCUUGAAUCCAGGAGAGGUGAGUGGAAUUCCGAGUGUAGAGGUGAAAUUCGUAGAUAUUCGGAAGAACACCAGUGGCGAAGGCGGCUCACUGGACUGGUAUUGACGCUGAGGUACGAAAGCGUGGGGAGCAAACAGG